CUUAUUUCUCUUAUUUCUCUUUCUAUUUCCUUUUCUUCUUUCUCAUUCUCUUUGUCACUGUCAUCUUCGAUAUCAGGAAUG
rnacentral:ribozyme from 13 species